CAAGGGUCCUUGGUAAUUUCGGUUGCCACCGGUAUUUCAAAUAUAUUGACUAUUUCUGCGUUUCUGUCCGCGCUUCAAGAAUUUCCGAAUGAAUCAUUUCGACAGAGCUGCGUAGUCUUGUCAUGUUUUUAAUAUGAAUACCGCGUUCGUUGGAAAUAUGUGCCAAUAUUAGAUGUACGCGUAGCGAAUAAACGAUCAUGUCGUAAAAGCUGUUCAUGAAGAAUUCAUGAAACAUAAAUAGAUUCCCAGUUUGUGCAUUUGGUACCAAAAUUGAACGAUUACGAAAUUCUUAUAGAAGGAGUGAUCGGUUUAUAAAUUUUUCCAACUGCACCUCGGUAAAUCAUAUAAUAAUUAAUCACAACCUGGAGAAAGUUUUGUGUGUGCUUCCUAUAUUAUAUCUGACUUCGUAUAUGUGAGAAAAGUAGUUGGUUGUGAAUGAUGAAUUAUUUCUUUUUUUUUUUUUUUUUUGUAAAACAGAUUUCACGGUAACUUGCACUUGUGGCAAUAAUUUUGCCCAAUACGACGAUGUGUAAAUUUCUAACUGAGUAGUUUACGUUUCAGACUAUUGUAUUUUUGUAAACGUUGCAUAACAUGUUUGGUACGAUGCAUGUACUUGUGGACAACAAAGUUAGUUUUUAAAUAAAAUGUGCGUUUCGUUAUUACAAACUGAAUUUUCUAGUAUUAAGAUGUCUGAACGAUAGUUUAAAAUAAAUUCUGUCUGUGUGAAUGCCAUGGCGUAUAAUGUACAACUUAAAUACUCAUUUUACACACAGCAAAUAGAAGCUGGCAAUGAGUUGUGAUUUUAUAGUAACUAUCUAGUUACUAUACUCAGCUGUAAAAGCAAAGACAAAGGUUAGAUUCACUAUACUACAUGAUAUCUAUUUUUAAAACAAUUUUUG